UACGGGAGGCAGCAGUGAGGAAUAUUGGUCAAUGGGCGNNAGCCUGAACCAGCCAAGUAGCGUGCAGGAUGACGGCCCUAUGGGUUGUAAACUGCUUUUAUGGGGGGAUAAAGUGCGGCACGCGUACCGUUUUGUANGUNCCGCAUGAAUAAGGACCGGCUAAUUCCGUGCCAGCAGCCGCGGUAAU
rnacentral:rRNA from 1 species